UAAUUACCUCUUCUCCACCUCUUGUAGUAGGUUAUGAUCCUCUAUUCUUUCAGGGUGAUGCUGUUGCAUGUGCUUCUGGAUUUAUAUUCUUCUGUGACUGUAUCAGUGGGUGAAGAUCCUGACCUAUUUGUGGAUUACACCGACUCAUAGAUUGUAAUUAAAUAAUCUAAUUUCUUCAGUGGUAAAGUGUAUACCCUGGCUGAUAGAAUGGAUGCUAUACUUAUGCUUGAUUAUUUAAUUUAUGAAGUGAAAAAUAUCUAUUUUUGUUAGAUUAGACCAUGUUUAUGACUUGGUGCGAUGGCAAGUGCCUUCGCCCAUGAGCGGUAGGUCUCGGGUUCGAGACUUGGGAGCAGCCUCUCCAUAAAUAGGGGUAAGGCUAGCCGACAUUCACCUCUCCCAGACCUUGCGUAAAGUGGGAGCCUUGUGCACUGGGUACGACCUUUUUUAGACCAUGUUUAUGACUGUUAUAAGUGGUCUUUUUCUGAGACUGGUCCAAUAUAAUGUUGGUAUUUGUUUAUAGAAGCCACAUUUGAAUUUUGAUGGACAACUAUUUUUGUGUUCUGUGACAAUUAAGAUUUAUUUGGAUGUCAUUAAAUAAGAACUUACUAAAACUUCCAUUUACUUUAGGUUUCCCAUUUUUUGAAGUUCCGCAGUUUGUUACAUGUUUAUAACUAAUGCAGAUAACUUCCAAUAGGGAGUCUCUGCUGAGACAUUGCUUUAGCCAUAAAAACUUGGCUUCUUCGAGCAUUGGUAAUGAUGUAUGCCUACGACUAAGCAACUUAUCAUUAUCGCGGAUGGGGUCUGUUGAGAAAUUACUGUGGGUCCAAAUGCUGGACCUCAGCCAUAAUGAACUUCAUUCACUUGAAGGUAUACUUCUUUUGCUCAUGUUGUGCAUCUUAAACGCCUAUGUGGUCUCCACAUUUUUAUCCAAGUAUUUUCCUCAGAUUUAUGGAAAAGUUGUGAUUUUAUAAAAUAUAUUGUUCUUUAGUAGUUUUCUUUGGGCAUUCAGUUCAUGUGGGGCUGAUAUAGUCGGGAACAAAUUCAAUAUUUAAAGGGUUGCCUUACCAGUAAUAUCUAGGAAGCGUGUUGGAGAAAAUCACCAUGAUUAGAAUUUUGAUUUUUUAAGCGUUCUUUUUCUUGCUAGCUGCUGGACUGUAGUCAAUAAGCUUUGUGGUUGAUUGUUUUUCAUGUAAGAGGAAAAAUGUCUUAUGCUUGGGCCUUUGGACAGGGUUGGAGGCCAUGCAGCUUCUAUCUUGCUUAAAUCUGAGUAACAACAAGCUCGGCAGUUUCACUGCUCUGGGGCCUUUGAAACUAUUGAAUUCACUGCAAGUUUUGGAUAUCUCGUACAAUGAGAUAGGUUCACACACUAUCGACACGACAAGGUAUCAAUGUUCUACUCCUCUUUCUCAUACAGAAGAAGCUAGUUGGAACAAUGAAGAAAUUGUAACUGGGGGAGCCGAUGUGAAAAGUUAUUGGGAAGCUUUUCUGAUACUUAAAAGCAUGAGCUUGAAGCAGUUAGUCACUGUGGGAAACGCAAUUUCUGUUGAAAACUUCAAGUCAUUUGUGGUCAAGUGUGUUCCUACACUCGAGUGGCUGGAUGGCGAUAAGUUGCAUUGACCUUUAAUUCCGGCUAUUUUUACAGUGAAGAGUACCAUGUACUGAUAGUUAACCAAAGAGAACACAUGAUACGUUGCUAGUUUUGACCCAGAUUAUUAACUCGUCGGUAGGAGCAUAGACUACAGGUUUUCAAUUGUCUUAUGUUCUGGUGAAAAUGUGUUUUUGUGUGUUUCACAAUAUGCGUCAUAUGGAAUGCGUUUAUUUUGCAGUCACGGUGCAUUGGUUUUGCCUAGUUUUGAUUGAAGUUGUUAGGUAAUUACAGGGUAGCGACCAAAUUUUCUGGAACUAUUAUAUUAUUACAAAGGGAGGUCGUCGGACAUGGAAGAAACCGAUCGAGUAAAUGCUACCCAGAAUAGCAUUGAAUUAGAAAAGUGCGGUGGCUGCAGCGCGGACAAAUGACGGAACUGUAGAGACCUUGAAAGGAAGAAUUGGAGGAAUUUAACUGGCAGGGUGAUCAAGCCAUCUUGCAUUCUUCUUGCUGCGGUGGCUUGUAUUUGAACUGCACAGCAGAUUGCAGAAAGAUAUCAGAAGGCUAAAUAGUGAAACCAACAAUAAAUGUUUUUGCUAAAGCGCAACGGGGGGAGGAUAUAGUAUUACUAUUUCGGAACUCUUUCAACAUUGAGAAGAGAUGUAUUACUAGACUAAGAAUUAGUUGGUAACUAACACGUGUUUCAGCUACAAAUCAAAUUGCGCAAUGUAUGAGAUAGACGACAAUUGAGAAGAUAUUUUGAACUCACCAAAACCAUGUGCAAGACUGUCGCUGUUAAGUUGUUCCUCCAAAUUCAUUGGAAUCCCAUGAAAGCAGGAGCUGAGAAUAACACCUGCAAACAGCCCUAAUAGGGCAAGAAGAUAAAUAGCCUUGUUCAUUUUGUUUGACUUUGAUACCAUAUUCUCUCUCUCUCUCUCUAGAUUUGUGUGGGUGGUUUUAAAUUAGCUCAGAGGUACUCCCUUUAUAUAACAACGAGAUACUUGAAGCUCUUGCUUCCAACAUGCUCUUUGAUUAUUUCAGUUGGUCAAGUUUUUGGUUUAAAAAUUAUGGGAAGCUUUAUUUGGUCAAAACCAUUUGGCCCCUCCUUGAUUAAGGUAUUGAGCGCGCGCGCGCACACACACAUGUGUGUGUAUAUAAAUAUGUGUGUACUUGCGUAGACUUGAGUGUAACCAAGUUAAUUAGAGCUGUAUAAUAUUUCAUAUACUAAAUUACUAUUAAAUUAGUCCAUCAACAAUACUAAAUUGGCCUUGAUAAUCAAUCAUAGGCGGUCAUUAAAAAAAAGUGUUAGAGAGACUAUGUUUUAAGAACAUAUUUUGUAUACAACAUGAUGUGGUGAUAAACGGUUGAAUUUUUUUUAUAAUAAUUUAAAGAAAGAGUUACAACCAUCAUCACAUCAUGUGUGGUUUGCAAAAUAUGUUUCAAGUAGAUGAUCUCUCUAACAUCACCCUUAAAAAAUAUGAGUAAUAAGGAGUUGUUGUGGACUCUUGAGGAGCACGGUGUGAAGGUGUCAACUCAGAUUUGUUUGUUAGAGACAUAAAACAAUGAAAACCUCUUUCUUGGAGAGGACGUAUGACAGAGUCAACUCCCCAAUAUUGUGUAUUUUUUAUGAUCCAAUAUUUAAUUUGUUGGGCCUAAGUUCAAUUUGGUCUUUACAUUUGUUUUUCCUUAACACGCAUCUUGGAACUUGGAUAAGAAAAUAUGCCUUAUGAGGGUGCAAGAUUGGCAAUAGGAGGGCUAAUUACAUUUUACAUACUAGAUUUUAAUUUUUUCACAUCGCAUUUUGGAGUUUUGAAAUUAUUUCAAUUUACACAUUUUAUUCCUCAUACAUUAAAUUAAAUAGGCUUUUUAUCCAUGUAAUGUAAAAUGUGGCUUACACGUUAGUUUAUAUAAGGAUCUCAAGCUAAUUAUGUCAUCAGCUUAAUGAAUUAUCAUACAUUCAAUCCCAUCAAAUGCAGAAAUUGAUGGAAUUUCAAUACUUUAUAGUGGAAUAGAAGAAAAGUAGAACUUAGUGACCUACUUUGAAAAUCAUCUUAAAUUUGGAGAGUGUAUAAUGUAAUCAACCUCUGGCAAUAUAAGACAUAGUAGGCCGACCACUUUGGUGCUAUAACAAAUAAUUAUUCAUGAUUACACACAUAAUAGGAUUUGAUAGAAAGUAGGAUAUCGACAUGUAUAGAGUAAAAUCUUUGUAUAUGUUGUAGGUCUAUUUGACUGAUUUGUAUUUAGGAUUAGAGAGGGAGAGAGGCCGGCAACAAGAGAGAGAGAGAAGAGAGAUUGAAUUGUGAGGUGUGUGUUGUAUCACCCCAUUGUGCCUUUAUUUAUAGUAGUAUGAAAUGUUAAAUCCUUACCCUUUUAGGAUUACAACUCUAAUAGGAUAUUAACUACUAAAGGGAACAUUCCAAGAUAUCACUAGAUACAAUAUGAUGUACAAAAUCACAUUCCUAUUCUAAAUACGAUUGUAACACUCCCCCUUGAGUGUGUAAAUACUCAAACAAAACAUCACAUCAGAUCUUCAGCAGAUAAGUUAAAACAGUUGAUGAAGUCGGCGACACAACGAAUGAAUGCGAGUCUCGAAUUUAAAGAAAGUAUGCAUUGGUAGUAAACUCACAAAACCUCGCUAUGGUAAAACCUAAGGCAGGUGAAAACCCAUAUACUAAGGAGAAAGGUGAGAAGUAUGCAUAAUGUCUAAAACAAAUGUCAAAUAGAACGAAAGUAGUUAACUUAACGGAGUAUGAUCAUCCCAGGAUGGGUCAUCAAAACCUUAUUAGGUAUCAAAAACCCAGUGGGAAAAAUGCUCCUAAUCAUAGGAAAAUGAGUACAUAAAUAUCAAGUGAGUAUGUUUUAGGAUACUCCCACUGAGUUAGACACAACUUCCAAAUAAGAGAACUACAAGCAAUUCAAUUCAGAUAAUUUAUGCAUAUCGAUUCCUUGGACGAGCUUCUGAAAAGUAGACUUGGUAAAGAGAUCAGCCAGGUUGUCCUAGGAACGGAUUUGCUUGAUUUCAAUGUUCUAAUGUUGUUGUUACUGGUGAGAAUAAAAGAACUCUGGUGCUAUGUGCUUGGUGUUGUCUCCCUUAAUGUAUCACUUUUUUAACUACUCGAUACAUAUUGCAUUGUCUUCAAAGAUCAUUGUAGGAAGGUCAACAACGGUAGUAAGACCACUAGUGCUUCGAAUAUGUUCCAUAACUGCUCUCAACCAAAAGCACUCACGCGAUGCUUCAUGCAGGGCGAGGAUUUCAGCAUGGUUUGAAGAAGUCGCAACUAGCAUUUCCUUGGUAGACCUCUAAGAUAUAACGGUGUCUCAAACGGUAAAGACAUAGUCCAUUUGAGAACAUGCCCUAUGUGGGUCAGACAGAUAACCAGCAUCUGCGUAACCAACAAGGCAUGAAUCAAGGCGGCUGCCCCUCUCAAGGAUUUGUGGGUAUAGAACAAGCCCAAAUCCAUCGUACCUUUGAGGUAGCAGAAAAUCUCUUUAUCACCAUUGCAGUGUCUGCGUGUAGGCUCAUUGAUGUAUCUAGUCAAAAGAUUAACAGCAAAUGAGAUGUCAGGUCUAGUGCAAUGAGCCAAGUACAAUAAAACACCAAUUACACUUAGGUAUGGAAAUCCAGGCUCCAAAAUCUCUUCCUUAUCCUUCUUGGGAUAGAAAGGAUCUUGUUUAGCAUCUAGAAUCCGAACGACCAUAGGAGUACUCGAAGGCUUUGCUUUAUCCUCAUUAAAACGUCGUAACACCUUUUAUGUGUAGUUCGAUUGAUGUACCAGGAUUCCAUCCGAACAAUGCUCAAUCUUCAAGCCUAGACAAUAUUUAGUUUUCCCAAGAUCUUUUAUCUCAAAUUCCGAUUUCAAGUGAACGAAAAUUUCCUCAAGCUCUGUGGUAGUUCCGAUGAGGUUCAUAUCAUUUACAUAAACUGCAAUGACCGCAAAUCUGGAAUGUGACUUCUUUAUGAACACACAUGGACAUAAUUCAUUGUUAACCUUGACUUGUCAAAUAUUCACUCAGAUGGUUAUACCACAUCCACCCAGAUUGUUUCAAUCCGUAGAGUGAUCUCCUCAAUCUAAUAAAGAAAGUGUUUCGUGGUCUAUAACUAUUUGAACCAGUCAAUGGAAGUCCUUCUCGAACUUUCAUGUAGAUUUUCGUAUCUAGAUCCCCAUAGAAAUACGCGGUUACCACGUCCAUAAUUUGCAUAUUCAGUUUUUCAGAAACUACCAAACUAAUAAGGUAGUGGAAUAUUAUGACAUCCAUUAUGGGAGAAUACGUCUUCUCGUAUUCAAUCCUAGGGCGUUGAGAGAAGCCUUGCGCUAUUAGGCGUGCUUUGUAUCGCACUAUUUCAUUCUUCUCAUUAUGCUUCCUCGAAGACCCACUUGUAGCCCACGGGUUUCAUAUGUGAUGGAGUAGGAGCUAUAGCUCCAAACACCUUACGUUUCACGAGCGAAUCGAGUUCAACCUUGAUUGUUUGUUUCCAGUUUGACCAAUCCGUUCUACAUCGGCAUUCAUCAAUGGAACGUAGUUCAAUGUCAUCACUAAGUAUAAUGUCAGUAACUAAUGUGUAUGCAAAUUCAUCGUCGAUUAUCAUCUUAUUUCGAUUCCAAACCUCAUCCAAUACUGCAUAGUGGACAAAAAUCUCGCAAUUCUUAGGAGGUCGAGUUGUCUCGUCUAAGACAUCACCGUAAUCUAUAAUAACCGUAUGUGUUAGAACAGAUGAGUAAGAGAUGGUCGGAUCAGACUAGGAUCACUAGUUUAUGCCGUUUUCCUCUUCCGGGGUUAUGAAUCCUUUGAACCAGGGGGUCUACCACGCUUCAAGGUAGAAGUAAAUGAUUGGUUAGCCACCAAUGUACCGGGCUGCGUAGAAGGUGCGGCCGCCCCACCCUCGAGGACGGUUCGACCUUACCAGGCGGUAUUACGGCGUACUCUAGGUACGUCUAUCCUUACAGGUGCGUUUGCAACAAGUAUAUGUGAUCUUAUGACCUUUGCUAAAUCAGUAAUAGCAUCCGGCAUGCUUUGAGCAAUACUCUAAAGAUCUAUAAUUCGUCGCACUUUGGUUUCAGACUGGGCAGUGUGAGGAUCUAAAUGAGAUAUAGUGAGUGCAUACCAUGACAAUUCGUGACAUUCUACAGGAACGUUAGCAUGCUUAUUUCCCAUAAUGACGAAAAGACUGUCUCAUCAAAGUGACAAUCCACAAAACGUGCAGUAGAGAAUUCUCUUGACAAGGUCUCUAAGUAGCAAAUAAUUGAUGGCGAAUCAUAACGGACAUAAAUUCUCAUUCUUCUCUAAAGACCCAUUUUGGUACGUUGUGGCAGCGCUAUUGGCACAUAGACUACGCACAUAAACACACGUCAAUACGAGACGUCGGGCUCAUAUCUAGUAACCAACUGUAACGGUGCAUGAGGUUGGGUAAUAGUAGGCCUCAGGCGGACCAACAUAGCUUCAUGCAAUACUGCAUAGCCCCAGGCAGAUAUCAGCAGUUUGGUUCGCAUAACCAAAGUCUGAGCUAUUAAUUGAAGGCACUUUAUGAAAGAUUCUACCAAGUUGUUUUGGGUGUGAACAUGGGGUAUAAGAUGUUCGACUUCAAUCUCAACUGACAUGCAAUAGUCGUCAAAAGUUUGUGACGUAAACUCUCUAGCGUUAUCCAGUCGAAUCGACUUGAUCGGAUAAUCAGGAUGGUGAGCCCUAAGCUUAAUAAUUUGUGCUAGGAGUUUCGCAAAUGCAGUGUUGCGUGUGGACAAUAUGCAGACAUAUGACCAACGUGUCAAUGCAUCAACCAACACCAUAAAGUAUUUAAAUGGCCGGCAUAUUGGUUGGAUAGGUCCACAAAUAUCCCCUUAAAUCCUCUGAAGAAACUUAGGAGGGUUGUGAAUAAUCUUUGUAAUUGAGGGUUGAGUAUUCAACUUCCCCAAAAAACAAGCUUUGCUGGCGAGAAUCCAAUGUAGGGAGGUAAAUGUGAUGAUUUGAGGAUACGAUGCAUUAUAUCACGUUCGGGAUGUCCCAUACGGUUAUGCCAAAGUAACAAAGUGCUCUGGAACUCAGGCUCAGGGCCGGCCACAUGGUGGGUCUCUAUACCGCGAAUGGUGGUGAUGUACAACUCGUUCGGGAGAUGUUCCAGCUUCUCGUGAAUACGUUUUUGGUCAUACUCGUAAGAAGUGAUACAAAGAUAUUGAGAUCCAUUCUCUUCAGUGGUUUCAAUAUGAUAUUGAUUAUCUCGAAUAUCUCUAAAGCUCAGCAACGUUCUUCCGGAACAUGGAUAAUAGAGGGCCUCUUUAAUGGUUAAUUCAAUACCAUUAGACAACAUUAUACGGGCCUUUUUGUAUCCUUCAAUCAGGUUGGAUGAGCCUGAGAGGGUUGUUAGAGGUGCUUUCUUAAGUAUAAAGUUAGUAAAAUAAUGUUGCCACGCAAUAUGGUGUGCCUAGUAGCACUAUCAGCCAAACAACUAACUUCCCCACUAGACAUAUCUAUAAAUAAAUUGAUUGAAUUAGUCACAUGCAUAAAUAUAAUUCCAUUCAUUCAAUUAAUCAAUUCGAGAGAUAAUAUCCAUAAAAUAAUUAUCCAUAAUUCAAAACAAACCAAAACCAAACAAAUUAUUCCAAAUACUUAGAAAAAUUGUCUAAAAAUUAAACCAUAAACCUAAAAAAAAAUAGGGGGUUAGGCCCCUCCUAGUGGGUUUGGCCACUAGGGGUAAAAAAACACCCUAAAAACAUGUCUAGGAGAAUAAAACUUAUUCGUCCAUAAAAUUUGAUGCCUCCUAAAAAUUUGAUAUCUCCAUGGAUGUAGUAGCAUCUUCAGGAUGUUCCACAUUGGCAAAGUUAGGCUCAUGACGAGAAUGAUACUGGGCAAUAGUCUCAGGAGUAGCUCUGCAUACGCAUGAUCAAGGUAUUAAAUAUCGAUAAUAUCAGAAAUAUCGGUAGUCCGAAAACACGGAAAUAUCGAUGGAAAUAUCGGGAUAAUAUCGAUAUCGAUAAAAAUAAUAUGGAAACCACAGAAAUUGUAAGAAAAACUUGGAAAUUUUUAUUGAAACUUUGCAGGAUGUUUAUUUAGUCAAUUAUCUAUUAGUUUAUCACAAAAAAUUGGAAGGAAAUGCAUUGCAUGAUGGAUUUAACAUUAUUAAGUUGAUUAUAUAGCGAGCUGGCAAACAUUGUGAAUGUAGAAAAUAUGUAGUAAUUAAUGAAAGAAGUUUAAACACACCAUAAUUAUUUAUAUAUAAUGAAUCAGUACAAUAUUUUACACUUUAUACAUUGCAUGGUAAGAUACAUGAGUGACUUAGUACCACAUAGAGUUCCUAUGAGGUUCAAAUUUUUCACUAUCUUCAUCAUCUCUAUGUGUAGAGUGAGUGUAUUGUGAAGAGUAGUUAUCAAAUGAUAAAUCCCCAAAAUAGUUUUGCAUGUAAUUGUUAACAUGUCACCCAUAUGGAUCCGAGAUUGGUUGACAUUGUCCAUAAGAAAAAUCAUUUGAAGAUUGAGUCUCGGAUUGUUUCCAUGAGUCACUCGAUUCCAUCCCAACAGGAAUCGGAUAUGAAGGGUAGGGAAAUGGUUGGUUAUGAGUAUAACCAUAGUUACUACUUCCCAAUCCAACAGAGUCCAAAGUUAUAGAUAACGAGUCAUCUUCUUGACUUGACAAAAUCCCCUUGCCUCUUUCUCUACGAGUAUAGUCCUUCCCUAUAGCACAAAUUCAUGGUCCUGCCGGCCUACUGCCAUGGUUCUCAUCCUAUGUUGCAUGCGUGAAGUUUGCCUCACCAGUGAAGGGGCUCAUAAAUCCGGGAGGUGGUUCAACAUAGUUUCCAUAUCCACCACCACUACCUCCAGCUCCACUAUAUCCUUCAUCAUUCCCACCUCCGGUGGUAGGUGAGUCUCCUCUUGAUCUUGUACUAGAGCUAUCAUUGGUAUCAGCACGAUGUUGUGGUUGUGUAGGAUUGGAAGAAUGUGGAAUUCCAGUGUUUCUUGGUCUUGGGCGCAAAAGUUCUUCCAAAGAGUCAGCGCUGCCAGAUCCCACCUCCUCCGCUAAUACUCUUUCUACAUUUAUCCCUUCAUUACGUGCUUCUUCAGCAACUCUGGAAGCUGGGUUGCCUUCAUCAUCAUCUAAAUGAAGACGUCUAAUCCAUUGAUAAAGUUGGUUACCCUCUGUACCAUCAUCUUCAGCAACAAUAUCAAACACAUCUAGUAGGUCAUCACGGUCGACAUGAUUUAUUUCUGCUUCCUUAUCUCGAAUUUGAAGCUUCAUGUUGUAGUGGCAAUAAACUAAUUUUUCCAACCUACUAUGAGCCAACCUAUUUCUUUGCUUUGUGUGUAUGAGUGCAAAUGUGCUCCAAUUUCUUUCACAAGCAGAUGAGGAAGUUGUUUGUGAUAAUACUUUAAUUGCUAACUUUCUCACAGUUGGUGCAUCAGUCUCAGACAUGAUCCACCAUUCAGCUACAAUGAAAAACAAUGUUGAUGAGCCUAAUAACUCCAACAAAUUCUAUUAUAAACUUAUCGUGAAAUAUGUUUACACUCACUAGGAGACAUUUUUGUUCGAGCAACAACUGAUGUUAGUUCUACAAAAGUUCUUCUUACAUCUUUAAACCAUGUUAGCUGAAUUCAAUAAAUCGUGUUAGUUUAAUCCACAAAGUAAUUAUUAUAAUUCAAGUAAUUGUGUACCUCAUUUCCAAAUUGGCCAACUGCUGGUGAUGCAGGGUCUAAUUUAGAGUAUACAUUAUGUACAGCACGUAUAAGGGUACCAUCAUCUCCAACACCGGGUCUGUAUUGGUAUAGAGGAUUCAAAUAAUAUGCUAUUCAAAGAAACACAUACUCUAUAAGAGAAUUAAUACUUAUGCAACUAAAGAAAUGAAUUGCAAAUUAUGACAUAAUUUAUACCUGAUGCAUGCAAAUCGUGGUAUAAUGUUUUAUACCAUCGGUCUUCAAUUAUCUUUAUGACCCACCUUGCACCAUGUUUUCUUUCCAAUUCAUCCUUCACUACACGCAUCAACUCAUAUAUUGCCCCCAUAAUAGGAUACACUUCUGUGUCAACGAUCCGUAAAACUUUGUAAAGAGGUUCAAACACUUGGCACACAUGUUCUGAUUGAGUCCAAAAAGCAUGAUCAAGCACUAUACUUUCCACCAUACGACCUACAUUUGAGCGGCUGAAAUUGUGGUUGGCCCAAUCAUCACUAGUAAAUAGUUACUUCAACCCUGCUUUCUUCUUAAGUAGGCUGUCUAAUGCAAUAUAGUUGGUGGCGAAUCGAGUGGUAGCUGGAUGAAUAAUUUUUCCUUUGCAAAAUUCACGCAUCUUUGCCAACAACCAACCGUGAUUGUAAAUAUAAUUUGUGAUCGUUCUAACUCUUUUUACCACAGUAGUACGUUCUCUCUCUUCCCCAUUGCCUCAAACAUGAGAUCAAUACAAUGUGCUGCACAUGAUGUCCAAAACACAUUAUGAUGCUUCAUUAACUUUUUUUCCAGCUUUGACAAAUGCAGAACCGUUGUCGGUCAUGACUUGGACAACAUUAUGCUCUCCCACCUCCAUGAUUACAUCCCUCAAUAAUUUGUAAAUAUACUUGUAGUUCUUUAUAUGGUCUAAAGCAUCAACAGACUUCAAAAAAAUUGUCUUUCCCUUGGAGUAUACCAUGAAGUUUAUGAUAGACAAUCUGGUCAGGCCGGUCCAUCCGUCACACAUGAUUGUGCAACCAUUAGUUUCCCACUUUGACCUCAACUUGCUAACAUACUCGCCAAUGUCUUUAUACUCCAUAUCCAAAUAUUUGUUUCUUAUCUCAUAGGGAGUGGGAGGUUGUACUUCAACACCGGCCUGUUGACAUCCCACUACCAUAUUUUUGAAAUGAUGUGAUGAUGCUUUCUCACCAGGGACAUUUUCAUACAUAAAGAACUUGCUAAUUAGAUGCCCCAUUCCCUCCUUCACAUUACCUCCAAUGAAAUAACUCCAAACACUCUUUUGACAUGCUUUGGAUGACUUAUAUAAACUUAGGGCUAUUGGUGGUGUUGGUUGUGAUUCUCUAAGACUGCCUCCUCGUCUCAUUUGUGCACCACCACUUAUCCCGGAACCUUGUGCUCUAUUAGGAAUUUUAUAAAGGUGUUCUCUUUCCCAUGCUGACUGUUUGGAGGCACGUAAUGCUUGUUUCAAACUGCGUCGUUCUUCAGGUCCUAUGUCAUCAUCACAUUCGUCCUCAUCGUCAUCAUCAUCACUGUCAACCGCUUGGCCAUAGACUUCUCCUUGUAGCCCUGCUCGAAUAUUUUCCAUUCCAUGUGUUAUCUUUUCCUUCUGCUGUUUUUUAUUUUUUAAUAAUGUGCUGAUGAAUGCCUUCACUUAUGGGGGGACAUUAUCGCAUCGUUGAACAUUUUUUGCUGGAUCUAAUCCACUAAGAUGGUACUUAAGUCGUGUCACUCCGCCACUCUUCAUUACCCGACCACAAUAUUUGCAAAUUGUGCCAUGUUUGUUUCCGUCUAUUGGGUCUCCAUGUUCCCAAGCUGGAUCACGUUUAGUAACUCCACUGGACAUCUUAAACGUACCUAUAUUUAUUUUUCAUGAAAAUUAGACAAUUAUUUUUUGGCCAAAAAAAAUAGUAGUGAUGACGGUUAUAUAAAAGAACCUAAAUAAUAAAGUUAUUCUACAGAAGAAUUAAAUAUGAAGUAAAGAAAAUGAUUGUAAAAAUUUAAGUAAUUAUAAAAAUAAUAUGGAAUAAUAAAAUCUAAUAUUAAUGAAUAAUAAUCCAUUUUGAUAAAAAAAAAUAAUCCUAAUAUAAAACAUAGUGAUGAAUAAUAAUCCAAUUUGAUAAUAAUCCAAUUUAAUAAUAAUCCAAUUUAAUGAAUAAUCCAAUUUGAUAAUAAUCCAAUUUAAUGAAUAAUAAUCCAAUUUGAUAAUAAAACCUAAUAUUAAUAAAAUAAUAAAUAACAUUAAACAUAUUAAAAUUAUCCUAGGGAAUAAUUAUACAACAUUACUUAAUUACUUAAAAAAAUUAACAUGUAAUUGUUAACAUUACUUAAUUACUUACAAAAACUAACAUGCAAGUAUUAAUUACUUAAAACAAUUAACAUGUAAUUGUUAACAUUACUUAAUUACUUACAAAAACUAAUAUGCAAGUAUUAAUAACUUAAAAAAAUUAACAUGUAAUUGUUAACAUUACUUAAUUACUUACAAAAACUAACAUGCAAGUAUUAAUUACUUAAAAAAAUUAACAUACGAGUCCACACAAAUUUUUUUGUUGUUGUAUAAAUUACAAUAAUAUAAAUAUAAGUUUGUAAACUUACUUUAAAUAUGGAACCCUUUGUGUUCAAGCUCUGGAAUGGAUCUUGAAUGGCUUUGAAAGGGGUAAGGGAAGAAGAAGAAACGAAAAUGCUCUGAAUGGCUCUGAUACUCCACCUCUUGAAAGAAUAUCACAGUGGCAGCUUUGAAAGGGGUAAGGGAAGAAUAAGAAACGAAAAUUCUCUGAAUGGCUCUGAUACUCCACCUCUUGAAAGAAUAUCACAGUGGCACACGGUUUUGAAUGAAACCACCAUUCAUGGUCUGAAAUUGUACAAGUUAUAAUUGUAAAAGUGGUCUAAAAUUGUCAAAAUAAUUGUAAAAGUUGUCAGGAAUCCUGAGUGAGUCAUGUGUCCUCCUGACAGGAGGAACCCCACACACACACACACAACGCACGCAACCACACACGAACACAACGCACGCACACAAACAUCACUGAUAAGCUCAUAUUUAUAUAUAUUUUACAUCAAAUUCACUUCUCUUUUCUUAGUUAGUUCCUUAUAUUUUUGAGCUAUUUACUUUGUUUUUGUGUUUUGUGGGAUUUGUCAAGCAAAUAAAAGAAAAUUAGCACAAGUAGGAUUUUUAGUAACAAAUUCGUCAAAACUGCCUGUGCAGAUCAGCUGACUUUGGAAGAAAGUUGCGAACAGCUCAGAAUGAAUUAGAGAAUGAACCUUAUAUUCUUGGAACGCUACGGAUGUCUAUUUUCUGGAGCAUUUCGCGGAUUGUUAAUAUCAUUUUCGUAGAAGAAGUUAUGGCUGUUUUAACACUGAAAGGUUCACAAGAGACUGGGCAGUUUGUAACUGCAAUGAAAGCAAUAAACCCAAUAAAUCUAGUUGUCAAAACUGAUGCAGCCAAGAACAAGUCAGCUGACACCUAUUCAAAUAUCAGAGGAAAUGAAAUUAAAAAUGAGGAUUAAGAGGGAGUAAUUGGCAUAAAGGCUACCUAAAGUGUUACAAUUGUUUUACCACAUUUCCUCUCACUUAUUGUCAUCACUAAAUGGCUAUUAGUGGGUGAGUUAAGGAGAAGAAAAUGAUGCAGCAAGAAUUGGUUUAAAAGCAGCAUUGGGGAAGGAAGGAAGAGAAGAGGAGGCCUCGGUCGAUUUCUUUCGGUUCUAUCUUCUCAAACUCAUGUCUAUGUUUUGUUUUAACUUAAGGAUUGUGUGUAACUAAAUUUUUAGUAGUUAGGGGCUGUUUUGAAGCCCCGAAUAUGAUUGCAAUUUUGUUAUGACAUUUCGUUGAAUUACUUUUAUGAAUGGAUGAAAAUUGGUUCACUACUUGUCUCAUUGAUGAAUUCUUUAUUUGUUUUCUAUGGAUGCAUACGUAGUAAGCAUAUCUAGGAUUCUAAUGCUAUGAAUAUGUGUGUGCCUGCCCUUGUCGAAUGAGGACCUACAUAUAUUCUAGAGUAGUACUUGUUAAUUGCGAUUAACAUGUGAACCAAUUUCUAGGAUAAGUAAGACAACGCCAGUACUUACGAUGCCUUAUGAUGACUCAAACUCUUUUCGUUCUUAAUGAUUUCUACUUGUUAAAUCUAUGAACACGCCAUUCUAGAUUACAUACUAGGGACUAAGUUAAGUUGAAAACGCCAUUCUCUUAACAUACUACGUAAGAAAGAGUAAUAGGUUGAGUUCUAACAUUGAGCCAACUUGAGCAUCUUCAUCCGGAAAUAAAAGGAAUUUGAAUGAAACAUACAUGUUU
rnacentral:lncRNA from 1 species